rnacentral:rRNA from 1 species
AGUGAACGCUGGCGGUAGGCCUAACACAUGCAAGUCGAACGGCAGCACAGUAAGAGCUUGCUCUUACGGGUGGCGAGUGGCGGACGGGUGAGGAAUACAUCGGAAUCUACUUUUUCGUGGGGGAUAACGUAGGGAAACUUACGCUAAUACCGCAUACGACCUACGGGUGAAAGCAGGGGAUCUUCGGACCUUGCGCGAUUGAAUGAGCCGAUGUCGGAUUAGCUAGUUGGCGGGGUAAAGGCCCACCAAGGCGACGAUCCGUAGCUGGUCUGAGAGGAUGGUCAGCCACACUGGAACUGAGACACGGUCCAGACUCCUACGGGAGGCAGCAGUGGGGAAUAUUGGACAAUGGGCGCAAGCCUGAUCCAGCCAUACCGCGUGGGUGAAGAAGACCUUCGGGUUGUAAAGCCCUUUUGUUGGGAAAGAAAAGCAGCAGGUUAAUACCCCGCUGUUCUGACGGUACCCAAAGAAUAAGCACCGGCUAACUUCGUG